UACAGAGGUCCCGAGCGUUGUUCGGAUUCAUUGGGCGUAAAGGGUGCGUAGGCGGCGGGGCAAGUCUGAUGUGAAAUCCCGGGGCUCAACCCCGGAACUGCAUUGGAUACUGCCUUGCUCGAGUACUGGAGAGGAGACUGGAAUUCACGGUGUAGCAGUGAAAUGCGUAGAUAUCGUGAGGAAGACCAGUGGCGAAGGCGGGUCUCUGGACAGUUCCUGACACUGAGGCACGAAGGCCAGGGGAGCAAACGGG
rnacentral:rRNA from 1 species